rnacentral:rRNA from 1 species
AUUGAACGCUGGCGGAAUGCUUUACACAUGCAAGUCGAGCGAAGCCUUCGGGCUUAGCGGCGGACGGGUGAGUAACGCGUGGGAACGUGCCCUUUGGUACGGAAUAGCCCCGGGAAACUGGGAGUAAUACCGUAUGUGCCCUUCGGGGGAAAGAUUUAUCGCCAAAGGAUCGGCCCGCGUUGGAUUAGGUAGUUGGUGGGGUAAUGGCCUACCAAGCCGACGAUCCAUAGCUGGUUUGAGAGGAUGAUCAGCCACACUGGGACUGAGACACGGCCCAGACUCCUACGGGAGGCAGCAGUGGGGAAUCUUAGACAAUGGGCGCAAGCCUGAUCUAGCCAUGCCGCGUGAGCGAUGAAGGCCUUAGGGUUGUAAAGCUCUUUCGCCUGGGAAGAUAAUGACGGUACCAGGUAAAGAAGCCCCGGCUAACUCCGUGCCAGCCGCCGCAGUAACAC